rnacentral:rRNA from 1 species
CCUACGGGAGGCAGCAGUGGGGAAUCUUGCGCAAUGGGCGAAAGCCUGACGCAGCCAUGCCGCGUGAAUGAUGAAGGUCUUAGGAUUGUAAAAUUCUUUCACCGGGGACGAUAAUGACGGUACCCGGAGAAGAAGCCCCGGCUAACUUCGUGCCAGCAGCCGCGGUAAUACGAAGGGGGCUAGCGUUGCUCGGAAUUACUGGGCGUAAAGGGAGCGUAGGCGGAUAGUUUAGUCAGAGGUGAAAGCCCAGGGCUCAACCUUGGAAUUGCCUUUGAUACUGGCUAUCUUGAGUACGGAAGAGGUAUGUGGAACUCCGAGUGUAGAGGUGAAAUUCGUAGAUAUUCGGAAGAACACCAGUGGCGAAGGCGACAUACUGGUCCGUUACUGACGCUGAGGCUCGAAAGCGUGGGGAGCAAACAGGAUUAGAUACCCUGGUAGUCCACGCUGUAAACGAUGAGUGCUAGUUGUCGGCAUGCAUGCAUGUCGGUGACGCAGCUACGCAUUAAGACACUCCGCCGUCGGGGAGGUACGGUCGCGAAGAAUUAAACUAACGAAGAAGUAGACGGCGUGAGACGUGCCGACGGACGACGACGAGGGAGUAGG